CGGACCAAACCCCUGCUUCAUCUCGCCAUCAGUUUGGGGGUCCUUGGCCUGAAAAACCUUGAAGACCCCUGCUCUAUUAUGUUACCUGCAUCAUCAUUUCUCCUGUUUUUCUCCUGCACAAAUACCUCAUCCACAAUCCGUUGUUCUCAUCCCACACGGUGCGAGCAGUGGGAUGCCGUAAAGGUGCCUGCCAGCAGGGUGUCUUGCUCAGGGGCACUUCGACAUGGGACAGGGAGCAGCCAGGGUUCAAACCACCAACCCUGAAGUUCCCGGCUCACCCUCUCUUCUCCAUGCCAUUGAUCUUUCCUGCAGUACAACCGGUGACCAGCAGGUGGCACUGUAACACCAUCUAUCCACCAAGCUCCUCUCAUCUUCUCUCCUUGUCGUCAUCAGAGAAACUACAUGGACACACGCAUGUACUGGCUUUAUUGUCCAUUCAAAGCCUCAAACUGAUGCAGUUUAUAAAAAACUUAAACAUAGUCUAAUAUGUUCUUGUGUGUCUGCUACUUUAAUUGAUGUUUGAAUUUGAAACAGCUGGCUUUCAUUAAGGCCCAGACUCCUGGGUUUUUGUAAGAAUUUAUCAAAGAAUUCGUGAAAAGAGCAUUUCUAACUUUCUAAUAUAUUAAUUAGACUUUCACACUCUGCAAGUGCUUCUCUUCCCUUCUCUUACUCAUCUCACCAUUAAUGAAAUAUCAUAACAGAAUUGAUGUGAGAAGACCAAAAGCAAUUAAUGCAGGGAAGUGCAGGGGCCCAGCAGGAAUGGAUUUGCGUGAAAAAAAAAAGUAAUAAUCAUGGAUUCCACGUGCUGUGCAGA
ensembl:lncRNA